AAUCAUUGAUUGGCUGCCUCCUGCACAUCCCCCACUGGGGGGAUCAAGCCCACAACUCAGGCCUGUGCCCUUGGCCAGAAUUGAACCUGGGGCUUUUUAGUCCACAAGCGACACUGUAUCCACUAAGCAAAACUAGUUAGGGCUCUUUCUGUUUUUGUAGUAGGUUGUUUUCAGAGGUUUAUUCUUCUACUUGUAAUCUAGGGAAAUUUGUCCUUUCAGUUUUGUUUUUCCAUAGAUCCCAUGUUGCUAUCUUCCUGUUAACCUUUUCUUACACAAGGAAAAUGUGUCCAGUCCUAGGGUUUGCCAGCAGACUAACAGGUGAUUUGCUAAGGAAGUUCUUCCAGAAGUUGAUGAGAGUGUCGGAAAGAGAAAAAGUCAAGCCAAGUCUCAUCCUUUCUCUAGGAGAGAUGAGAACAGGAGUUAUUACAUCACAGAGCUGACCCCAUAAGCUAUAAGUUACCUUGAUAGCCAAAAUUGCCUAGGCACUCCCAGCUCUCUGCACCUGUGGAUCAAGCAGCUCCAGUCAUCCAAGGACAGACCCCUUGAAGCAAGAUGUGGGGAGAUCCAAGAUGACGGCAUACGUAAACAUCUAAACUGCUGCUGUGCACAACAAUUUCAAAACUAUCAAUAAAAGAUAAAACAUCUAUCAUCCAAAACCACGGGAAAGCUGGCUGAGUGGAAGUUCUAAAACUAGACAGAAGGGAAAAGAAAAAUCAGGACACAAGCACUGAAAAACUGAGGUAUGGGAGCAUGUGCAUGAUACAGUCUGGUGGUGGAUCCUGGCUGGCGGCGGGCAUUGCUUUCUUCAACCCGAAGAGAGACAAGCUCCCAAUCUCUCUGAAAUCCAGUUUCUGGGGAGAAGCUGAACUGUCUGCCAUCGGGUCAGAAAGUGAGAGUGGCUUGCUUGCAGAGCUGCGAGCAAAAAUAAUUGUUUGCUGUGCUGGGGUGCAGACACAGGGACAUGCAGUCGGAGAGGAAGAGAUGGCUGACUGGUAGCCUUUGUUGUUUGCCAUACGCUAGCCUAGU